CUCCGCUCUCGCUCUCCGUGAUUUAUUACUUGCCCUGCUGCUUCUGACAAACUAUUUGUAGGAAAAUGAGAUUUGGUCCGCGCUGGAUGGCUCCUCUGGGAGGCAGGCGUGGGGGUCGGGUGUCGGAGGCCCCGUGCGCCCCCCCACCCCCCACCAGAGCCCACGGCGCUCACGGAGCUCUUUAAGAUAAAUGAGCAAAAUUAAGAGACUCACUGGGGGAAGAAAACACUGGAUGGGAGCGAGCGAGAGCGGAUGGUACUUGGUUUCCUCCCAGAAAUGCAUCCACGUGCGCCCCACUGGGGCCUCCCCCAUCUGCUGCAGACUCCAGGGAACUUCCUCCCCUCAAAGACGAACUUCCAGCCCUGGAGCAUGUUUCUUCCUUUCCUGGGAUGUGGCGCUGAAAAGGGCAGAAACCUCUAGUAAGGCACAAGCAACAGAUUGGGGGUGGAGCAGCAGGUCUCUUUGGAGGUGGCCUGGAAGAAACCGGACAGAGAGGAUGGGAAGGGGAGAAACAGAAGAGUGUGACGAGAUCAUGAAGGAAAGAGGAGGCGUCUACUGAAUGUAAGGUAGAGCCAAAGGCAUCUAUUGAUGACUGAAGAAGAGGCAUGAAUAUGACAAAAACAGGAAGGGUUACAUCAAAAACAGUAUUGCUGGCCACCGCGCCGGCGAGCGCCGCCAGGGAGGCAGCGGCUGGAGGAGCGGACGGGCCCCGCAGGGCCCGAGGGCAAGGAGCAGCCGCCUGCCUUGGCCUCCCAAAGUGCCGAGAUUGCAGCCUCUGCCCGGCUGCCACCCCGUCUGGGAAGUGAGGAGUGUCUCUGCCUGGCCGC
rnacentral:lncRNA from 1 species